AGGACGAACGCUUGCGACGUGCCUAAGAAAUGCAAGUCGAACGGGGGAGCAAUCCCUAGUGGCGAACGGUCGCGUAACACGUGGGCAACCUGCCCUGAAGCGGGGGACAACAGUCCGAAAGGGCUGCUAAUACCGCAUGUGAAGGGGGAAGGCAUCUUCCCUUGUUCAAAGCUGUAAUCUUCGGAUUACCGCACUUCAGGAUGGGCCCGCGGCCUAUCAGCUUGUUGGUGGGGUAACGCCUACCAAGGCUUCGACGGGUAGCUGGUCUGAGAGGACGGCCAGCCGGAUUGGGACUGAGAUACGGCCCAGACUCCUACGGGGGGCAGCAAUUAGGAAUCUUGCACAAUGGGGGAAACCCUGAUGCAGCGACGUCGCGUGGAGGAUGAAAUCUUUCGGGAUGUAAACUCCUUUUCUCAGGGAAGAAAAAAUGACGGUACCUGAGGAAUAAGCCCCGGCUAACUACGUGCCAGCAGCCGC
rnacentral:rRNA from 1 species